rnacentral:rRNA from 1 species
GAUCCUGGCUCAGAAUGAACGUUGGCGGCGUGGAUUAGGCAUGCAAGUCGAGCGAGUCUACCUAGUAGCAAUAUUGGGUAAGUCGAGCGGCGUAAGGGGCAGUAAUACCUGGGAACUACCCUGAGGUCGGGGAUAGCUGCUGGAAACGGCGAGUAAUACCCGAUGAUCUUGGAAAAGCAAAGGCUUGCCGCCUUAGGAGCGGCCCAGGCGAUAUUAGCUAGUUGGUGGGGUAAUGGCCUACCAAGGCAUAGAUGUCUAGCGGGUGUGAGAGCACGACCCGCGCCACUGGCACUGAGACACUGGCCAGACACCUACGGGUGGCUGCAGUCGAGAAUCUUCGGCAAUGAGCGCAAGCUUGACCGAGCGACGCCGCGUGCGGGAUGAAGGCCUCGGUUGUAACGACUUGUCGAAGAAGGUAAAACGUUAGAUCGAUCGGAGAAACGAAGGACGGGCGUAAGUUCGUGCCAGCAGCCGCGGUAA